CUAAGCAUUUUAAUUCCAAUUUGGUUUUUCCCACAGCUAAAUUUCACCCAGCAGAUUGAAAUCUUUUCUAUUUCUUUCUGCCCGCGACAGGACAAGUUCUUCAAAAGAAAAAGGUUCGUUUAUCGCGAUUGUGAGAACAGAAUGCGAAAUCAACUAGGAAAAAGGUCAGAAAGUCUGGAAAAUUGAAAAGGCAGAGACGGGAAAAACUAUUUAAAACCCAGGUGAAGGCAGAAGAAGCUAUCUCUAUGAUGUGUGCAUAAAAGAACCAUCUUGGUGAUUCAUUUACUUCAUUUUUUGCACGCUUUUUUUGCCCGCUUCCUUUCCUGCUGGAUUCUCAGUUUCUUGGAAGCAAGUGCAAUUGCUAUAAAUGAAAUGAAACGGACGACGACGAGCGACAGGCAGCGCGGAUGUGGAUGUCGUUUAAAUAUUACCAGACGGCAUAAAAAUUGACAGACGUCGCCAGACAAAGGCCAAACAAACUUCUGAAUGAACCAUCCAAGCAGAGCGUUAAAAAGUCCUAAAACGAAGUACCGAAUCUGGGAUUAUGCCUCACCUGAACUGGAUACAAAAAUUCAAUCAACCUGCUGCAGCUGCGGCCUUUGUUGCUGUUUUUUGCAGAGAUUACUUUAUGCUGCACCCUGCAAUCCGGGGCUUGAACUAAAGGUGUCUAUAUAGGUGUAUAUAUAAAACUCACUGCAAGUCGGAGAUCCAAAGUUGUGAACGUGCCAGGCUGGCCCCUUUUGCCACCCACCGCCCUCCCCGCACCCAUAUGUUUGCUAGCCCCCCGAAGACCCUGUAUCGCAUAAACAGUUGCAAUUGCGAACGUGAUUGGGGCGAAUGCAAUUCAACCUGCAGAUAUAGAUAGAGACAGGUUGUAAACGAGAAGAGCGAAGUCAAAUCGGAAUCGGAUUUUUUAUACUUCUCAUGGCUACUAUACUUCUCAAUGAUGGAUUCAAUUCCCGCAACGACAAGAACCAGAAACAGGUUUCCAAUCGCAUUCUGCCCCACAGUGGACACUCGGGAAAUUAGAGCCUUCAGAUGCAGCUUGUGCCUAUCUAUAUGACGACUAGAAAUUUAUAUUUUAUUUGAAAUUCAUAAAGUUGAAAUGGAAUAAAGUACCACUUUGUUUUUA